AUCUAUUAGGUUGUUGCAAAAGUAAUUGUGGUUUUUGCCAUUACUUUUAGUGGCAAAACUGCAAUUGCUUUUGCACCUACUUAAUAGU
rnacentral:miRNA from 1 species